rnacentral:RNase_P_RNA from 1 species
GCAGGUCAGGCAGUCGCGGGGGCGCGCGAGCGUCCUCGAGGAAAGUCCGGACACCACAGGGCGAGGGUGGUCGGGAGACCGACCCGGGGAAACCCGCGGGAAAGUGCCACAGAAACACACCGCCGAUGGCGUCCUCGGGCGCACAGGCAAGGGUGAAAUGGUGCGGUAAGAGCGCACCGGCGUCGCGGUGACGCGGCGGCCGGGUAAACCCCACCCGGUGCUAGACCAAGCAGGGCCGUUCGCAGGCUGCCCGCCGAGGCCCAGGUAGGUCGCAUCAGAUGGAUGGCUGCCCAACGACAGAAUCCGGCUUACCGACCUGCUAAG